UACGGAGGGUGCAAGCGUUAUCCGGAUUCACUGGGCUUAAAGGGUGCGUAGGCGGGCAGAUAAGUCAGUGGUGAAAUACCUGAGCUUAACUUGGGAACUGCCAUUGAUACUAUUUGUCUUGAAUGUUGUGGAGGUUAGCGGAAUAUGUCAUGUAGCGGUGAAAUGCUUAGAGAUGACAUAGAACACCUAUUGCGAAGGCAGCUAACUACGCAAAUAUUGGCGCUGAGGCACGAAAGCGUGGGGAUCAAACAGG
rnacentral:rRNA from 1 species